rnacentral:rRNA from 1 species
CACGUAGGGCGCGAGCGUUGUCCGGAAUUAUUGGGCGUAAAGAGCUCGUAGGCGGCCUGUUGCGUCCGCUGUGAAAGCCCGGGGCUUAACCCCGGGUCUGCAGUGGAUACGGGCAGGCUAGAGGUAGGUAGGGGAGAAUGGAAUUCCCGGUGUAGCGGUGAAAUGCGCAGAUAUCGGGAGGAACACCGGUGGCGAAGGCGGUUCUCUGGGCCUUACCUGACGCUGAGGCACGAAAGCGUGGGGAGCAAACAGG